GAUAAUGGGCCACAAUAAAAGGCUGCUGGGGAGAUCUUGAUGGAGCAGCGACUAUAUAUUUUUUGAACCCAAUGUGUUGCACAUUAUAUCAGAUAGUGGAUAUUUAUAGGAUGCAACAGACAGUUGAGACAGCCUAAACCAUCACCAGAUAUAUUUAUAACCAUGCAUGUGCCCUAUCAUUAAUGAGGAGGUAUGCAGGGAGAGAGAUCUAGAGACUAGGAGUGACAUGGUUUGCUACCAAUUAUGUUGUAUUUGAUAGCUUUCUUGAGAGGAAAGCAACCCUACAUCUGAUAUUUGUCAGCUCCGAGUGGCAGCAAUGUAUAUUUGCGAGGGUUGGCACUAAAGAGAGCACUGUCGAGGACUUGGUGAUGAGUGAAUGCUAUCAAAUCAUUGUACGAAGUGCUUCAAGCCGUAGACAACGAAAGAUACCCUUAGAUGGGGUUGUUGUAUUGUAUGAUAGAGAGGGUAAAGAUUCAGAUCAAGUAGGCAGAUUCAACGAUGCCUAAGAGUACAUCGACAUCAUUGAGCAGCUAUGGGACUACCCGAUGGGUAGGGACUUGC
rnacentral:lncRNA from 1 species